GUAAGGAAGCCAUUUAUUUAAGAGUCAAUGGUAGGCUACUGUCUCAGGGUUGAUCUAACGUGAUUGGCUGAACUGACGUUGGCGCACAUAACUAUUCCUUGGUUGACGGUUAGCGUCUCAAUCGGUCAAGAGGGCAAUAGGGAGAAGUUGUCCUGAAACGCUCCCAUUCAUCCUAUGCAUUAAAACUUUAUCUGCAUGUAGAAACAGCUGAGAACAACCUCUUGAAUCUGGAUAUGUUGUUGUGACUCUUAUUCAGUGCCGUGUCCUACAUUGCUGACCGGCUGGCUGCUUGCUGCAGUUCCUCCAAGGGACACUCGGCAGGUUGACAUGGCAGACCACGUCAGGAGGUGUAUUGUGUCUCCAGUGAGGCUUCAUCAUGUCCACCUACCUCAGUCAAAACUACCACCUCCUAGGCAACCAUCUCAGACAACCUAAAGAGUAACAUCUCAUCACAUGUUGAUGUCCUUCUUGGCUUUCUUCCACACUGUUUACCAUGAUUACUUGUCUGUAAACUCCAUCUGCAGGAGGUGGACAGGUCUGAUGACCCCAAACAGUCCCAAAUAAAAACAAUAAAAUCUCA